UUGCGAACGGGUGAGUAACGCGUAGGUAACCUGCCUGGUAGCGGGGGAUAACUAUUGGAAACGAUAGCUAAUACCGCAUAACAGUAAAUGUUGCAUGACAUUUGCUUAAAAGGUGCAAUUGCAUCACUACCAGAUGGACCUGCGUUGUAUUAGCUAGUUGGUGGGGUAACGGCUCACCAAGGCGACGAUACAUAGCCGACCUGAGAGGGUGAUCGGCCACACUGGGACUGAGAAAAGGAAAAGAGUAC
rnacentral:rRNA from 1 species